rnacentral:rRNA from 1 species
CAGUAGCCACGGGAAUACGGAGGGGGCUAGCGUUGUUCGGAAUUACUGGGCGUAAAGCGCACGUAGGCGGCUUGGUAAGUUAGAGGUGAAAGCCCGGAGCUCAACUCCGGAAUUGCCUUUAAGACUGCCGAGCUAGCAGGUGAGAGAGGUAAGUGGAAUUCCGAGUGUAGAGGUGAAAUUCGUAGAUAUUCGGAAGAACACCAGUGGCGAAGGCGGCUUACUGGCUCAUACUGGACGCUGAGGUGCGAAAGCGUGGGGAGCAAACAGGAUUAGAUACCCCGGUAGUCCCUGUCUCUUAUAU